AACGAACGCUGGCGGCAGGCUUAACACAUGCAAGUCGAGCGCCCCGCAAGGGGAGCGGCUGACGGGUGAGUAACGCGUGGGAAUCUACCCAUCACUACGGAACAACUCCGGGAAACUGGAGCUAAUACCGUAUACGUCCUUCGGGAGAAAGAUUUAUCGGUGAUGGAUGAGCCCGCGUUGGAUUAGCUAGUUGGUGGGGUAAUGACCCACCAAGGCGACGAUCCAUAGCUGGUCUGAGAGGAUGAUCAGCCACACUGGGACUGAGACACGGCCCAGACUCCUACGGGAGGCAGCAGUGGGGAAUAUUGGACAAUGGGCGCAAGCCUGAUCCAGCCAUGCCGCGUGAGUGAUGAAGGCCCUAGGGUUGUAAAGCUCUUUCACCGGUGAAGAUAAUGACGGUAACCGGAGAAGAAGCCCCGGCUAACUUCGUGCCAGCCGCCGCAGUAA
rnacentral:rRNA from 1 species